AACCUUUGUGAUGUUUGUGUAGUUUUUCUUUGUGUUUGGCUGAACAACAUGAGUCAGUGCUGAUGGAGUUUCAGAGCUGAAGUCAUUAUUGAAGCAGCAGCUCGUUGUCUUUAAUAUUACUGAGAGCUCUUUUUCACUUUGUGUAUUUUACAGCUUUUAACCUGCAUCCUGUUGGCUUCAGCUGUUUGGAGUUUACAUUUUCUAAACUUGUUCUUUCUAAACCUUCUUCAGCUCUCAACACAUUAUUAAACACUGAAUGAUUUCCAGCAGGAACAUUGUCUUCUACAGUUACAUCUGUGAUUCUUUAUUCAGGUUGAGUUUCUGCAGUUGUCAGAGAUCAGCUGUGCUUCUCUGGUCUCAGCUCUGAAGUCCAACCCCUCCCAUCUGACAGAGCUGGACCUGAACUACAACGAGCUGCAGGAUUCAGGAGUGAAGCAGCUGUCUGAUCUUGUGGAGAGUCCAGACUGCAGACUGGAGACUCUGAGAUGGUUUUGAUCUCUAUCAGAGUGAUCAGAGAGCUGCUCUGUCCUUCAACACACGGAGACCUCCACGUCCUCUGCUCCUCCAGGACCUGCAUUCAGUCUCUUCUGUUUUUAUGUUCAGAUGAAGUCAGAGUGACUCUGCAGAUUAAUGUCAGCAUAACUGAAAUUACAGUCACUGAGCUGCACUCAGGUUAUGUUCCUGUUAAUCUCUCUUUCUUUGAGUCUCUCUGCUGUGAAAAGACGGAGAACUGCCGUUAACUUGUUUACACUGUAACUUGUACGGCCGAACGAU